rnacentral:lncRNA from 1 species
UGUAGCGAGUGGAGUAAGGUAGUGGCCCUUGUCGUGGCUUGCCAGAGAGCUUGGAUCCGUCGGCUAAAGCUCGUUUGGGAUGCCUGAUGGAGCAGAAUGGCCCUUUACAUCGUCAUUUUAGGAGAGGCUCGGAUGUUCUGAGGUCGCUGACGAAUCUACUGUUGUCGGACGCUUCGGGUGCUGACAUUUCAGGCGGGAGUUACCUGCUG